CUGGAUAGCUAACUACGGAAAGGAUAAACGCUGAAAGCAUCUAAGCGUGAAGCCCGCUCCGAGAUAAGGUUUCGUAAAGUGUUUACACUGAGAGUCCCCUGGAAGACGACCAGGUUAAUAGGCCAGAUGUGUAAGCCCAGUAAUGGGUUCAGCUAACUGGUACUAAAGGACGAAAACUUGGCCAC
rnacentral:rRNA from 1 species